AUAUGAGGGCGGGCUGGACCUCUCGGGGUUACAGCCUUGCUGAAUUAUUCACCCUUGUCUUUUGCGUACUUCUUGUUUCCUUGGUGGGUUCGCCCACCACUAGGACAAACAUAAACCUUUUGUAAUUGCAAUCAGCGUCAGUAACAAAUUAAUAAUUACAACUUUCAACAACGGAUCUCUUGGUUCUGGCAUCGAUGAAGAACGCAGCGAAAUGCGAUAAGUAGUGUGAAUUGCAGAAUUCAGUGAAUCAUCGAAUCUUUGAACGCACAUUGCGCCCUUUGGUAUUCCAAAGGGCAUGCCUGUUCGAGCGUCAUUUGUACCCUCAAGCUUUGCUUGGUGUUGGGCGUCUUGUCUCUAGCUUUGCUGGAGACUCGCCUUAAAGUAAUUGGCAGCCGGCCUACUGGUUUCGGAGCGCAGCACAAGUCGCACUCUCUAUCAGCAAAGGUCUAGCAUCCAUUAAGCCUUUUUUUCAACUUUUGACCUCGGAUCAGGUAGGGAUACCCGCUGAACUUAAGCAUAUCAAUAAGCGGAGGAAG
rnacentral:rRNA from 1 species